rnacentral:tmRNA from 1 species
GGGGGUGAUCGGUUUCGACUUGGGACGAUAGUUCCAGGAGAAGCGGGCCGAGGAUCCAAGGUCAUCUCGUAAACGACUCCUUGGAAACCAAUAAGUGCCGAUUCUAAGCGCACUGACUUCGCUCUCGCUGCCUGAGCAGUGAUCGAAGGGUCAGACCGGGCGUGCCUCCGUCCCGGACCCUGGCCUCAUUCAGGAGGCUCACCUGUACCGGCUGUGUCUUAGGGCCGUACGGGGACAUCAACUGAGACUGGGCUUGUCUGCAACGUGCUGGCGCGAGUGCAGGAGCCGAGCAGAACGCUGAGCCAGCUGCGCCCGGAGAAGACCUGGUUCGUCGCUCGAGGACGCGGGUUCGAUUCCCGCCACCUCCACCC